AUGAGACACAGUCUUAAUAAAAACCCUUUCACACUGCACAAUGAAGCACUGUGGUACACUUUUGGUGGAGGAACUAAACUGACCAUCGCUGGUCCCGCAGUGAAGCCCUCCGUGUCUCUGCUGCCUCCCUCUUCUCUGCAGAUCUCUGGAGACUCAGCCCCACUGCUCUGUCUGCUCAGCUCUUACUCUCCACAGGGGGCGCAGGUGAGCUGGACGCUGGACGGGUCAGAGGUCACCGAGGGGGUUCAGACCAGCGCAGAGAGCGAGCGGGACGGACGCUACAGCCGCAGCAGCAUCCUGAGCCUCAGCAAAGCACGCUGGGAAGCCGGCGAGCGCUUCGUCUGCAGAGUAACACAUGACGGAGCUGAUCACGAGACCUCGUUCCUCAAGAGCUCCGAGUGCUGAUGUUUCUCCAGUGAAGAGCAGCAGGAUUCACAGCAGUCUCCUGAUUUACAGCUCAAUACUCAAGCAGUCUUUCAAUGUGCUGCCAUUGCUGUUCAUUCAAUAAAGCUUCUGAACGCCUUC